UCUGGCUGCUGUGCUCCUCGGAGACGGUGGUGGAGGCACAUCUGAGAAGAGUGUAUCUGGACGAGUGAAGGGGUUAGGAGGAAAUGUCGCUUACUUGCGCACUGUGGUUCCGGAAAGGCCUUUUCCGGAGAGGUCGCUCGGGAGCUGAGGCUGACCGAGCACUCUCCCAGCAGUCUGACUCCGAGGCCAAAGGCCGGGGUCAAGGAGGAGCUUGGCUUUGUUGUGAGCGAUGGAAGCGGAAGCGGAGCCAGGAGUGUGCAGCUCUCGCUGCAGAGCUCCACACCUGCAGGGAGCUACUCGUGCAGAGAGAGGAGGAGAUCGCCAACCUGAAGGCGGAGAGAAACAACACCAAGCUGCUGCUGGAACAUUUGGAGUUCCUCGUCUCCAGGCACGAGAGAUCUCUUCGGAAAACAGUGGUGAGGCGACAGGCGAAGACUCAGGCCGGCGAGUCCAGUGAGGCGGAGGUGCAGAGCCAGAUGAAAGAGCUCCUGGCUACCCUGUGCACUCUCGUGGCCAAGCUGGAAGAAGACCUGGACAUCUCAAGGAAAGACCUCAUCCUUUGUAAAGCAAUGAACACCAUAUUACAAAGAGAUGUCCGUGAAGCCAUGGCCCAGACGGAAGACAUGCAAGACAGGAUCACUACCCUUGAGAAGCGCUGCCUCAGGGCACAGCACGAAGCCACCUCUCUGCACGACCUCAAGGAUAACCUUGAAAACGAGAUCGCAAAGAAGGACUCUCUGCAUCGACAGACUGCGGAUCAAAACCGCCAGUUGCAAGAGCGCCUGGAGGUGGCGGAGCGGAAGCUGCAGCAGACCCCGAGGAAGGCCAAGUCGCUGCCCGAGGUGGAAGCCGAGCCGGCCCAGAGGGUGGCCACCCUCUGCAAGGCCGAGCAGAGGCAUGGCAACAUCGAGGAAAGUCUGCACCAGAUGGAGGCCCAGCUGGAGGAAAAGAACCAAGAACUGCAGCGGAUGUAAAGGCACAGGUCGGGGUAGAUGUUCCUAAGAAGAGGAAUAGCGUCAUCGAGCCUUGACGAAAGGGAGGCCCGUGUCCCUUGAAUCCCCUGAGAUUUUUCCCUGCGGGAGCUGGUCGGACGUCAACAUGAAACACCCAGGGAACCAAAAGCCCGAGGGUUCCUACGGAAUUGUGAGCAGUAACAGAAAUAACGGCAUUUCAACUGAAGUACAACUGACAGUGUGCCGGUCAUGAUCCUUAUUAUGAGUUCUGAGGAGACUAGAUUGAGGCAGACGGAAAGAGGAACCAACGGACAAGUCCGGGGACUGAAGGGGAAACAGCCUCUAGCGGGAAGGUGCCCUGUGGGCCCAGUGUGGACGUGAGGCACGCCGCUCCAGACCUCGUAGGCACACGGGCCCUGAAGGGUGGCCACAUGCUUUGCCUGCUGUCCAGUGUGCGCCUGCUGCCCCUCUGCAGAGGCCAUGGGGACAGACCCCUCCCGGUACCGUGGAGCACCCACCUGGGAGGUGGCUGGACUCGGCCAGCAAAAGGCGAGGAGGAAAGUGUGAAGUCACAAUUACAUUCAGAACACUCGACGUGACACACAAGAAAGGACCUUAAGGGCCGCAGUGAGGAGGGUAGAGUGGCCUCAAGGAGGAGCGUGUAGCGGUAGGAGAGUCAAGGGUAUUCGGUGGGACCUGGCGGGUCUGUGGAAAGGCCUGCAAGCCCCGGAACAUUCAGUAUGGGGCGAGCACAGCCAAGGAUGGCUAACGCGUGUUCUCAGAGAGGCCACACCCCUCGGACAUCUGCUCGGUGCUUGGUCUGUUUCUCAACUGACAUUUCUUUUUUAAGCAUAAUGGGAUUCACCAAAUCAAGUUUUAAUAAACCGUGUGCAACCUAA